UAAUCGCUCUCUCUCUCUCUCUCUGUACAUGUGAACUACUCAGACACAGAAGCACGCAUUUGAAGAAGUUUCAUUUGUAGCUGAGCUUGUGUUAAAGCUGUAAUGUCCUGGAAGAUGAAUAGAAUUUGAGUUGUUGCAGAUUUGGAUUCAGGGAGCGUAGAUUGCCGAGACUUAGGCGGUUAAUGCUUUUUCAUCAGAGGUUUUUCCUUUUGGAAUGAGAUCAUUAGUUAAUGGAUUAAUGGAUUUUUGCACUCCUGUUUGUAGAAAUACGUUCAUGUUAUAUUUUAGUUCAUUGCUUGAUGCAUCAACAUAUAAACAAAUCCCUGCCAUGAACUUUUACAGUUGUCUAGUUGCUAAUGGUCCAGUAAUCUUUUUGAUAGGUUUCUGGUUACUUGGCCUUUCCAUAAGCUGGUGAAAGGGCUUCUUAAGUUAAUGCUUGAUCAAAUUUCUGAGAUCGCUCCAAUGCCUAGGGAUUGUUGACCAGUGGUAAAAGAUUACAGAAUACCUACCAUGGACUGAAGGACACCUUUUUGUAUUUGGGUCGAUCUCGCUCAAUACAAGGAUAUUGUAGGAACCCUUUGUAUAGAAAAAUUUUAUUCAUCUUCAAAUGAAAUUGGAGGAAAAUUCUAGGAUAUUGAAUACCAAAUUUGCGCACAAGGAUUUAUCACACUUAUUCUUUGCCAUUUGGUUUUGUUCUGAGUCUACAAAAGAAAACCAGAUUCUUUGGCUCCUCUACUGUACAUGAUCUCUAGCUUGAAGCAGUUAAUGGAGGAUAAAAAAACGUGGCUACUAUUCUGUUCUAA